AUGGACGUGCACUCAGCUCCGUCUUGCCCUACUGAGGCGAGGGCACCUGUUGAGCAUCUAAUUGGGCAGUUUGCAUCCGGAAUGACCGGCUUGCUCGGAAAGUUGGUUGAGGGGUGGACGUCCCUUAACGGCUUUGACAACGAUGCGGUUGCGAGGCAGUUCACUAUAUUUGUCCCAGAAUGGACACAUCGGCCAACUAGUUGCCGUGGCUGGUAUGACUACAACAGUUCCCAAGAGCCUGCCGACACACAAGAUCAACUAUAUGGAGACGCUGGUCUCAAGCAAGACGACAGCGAUGACGACAAACAUGGCGAAGUUCGUGCAGGUGGUAAGAAGGGCAAGGAUGCACCAAAUGUCCCCCCAUCGGACAAAGUCAAAGAACAUACGGCUGCGAGAGGCAAGCGGGUGUUGCCCUCAAAAAGGGGGAGGGCUCGGGAGGAUGAUGGGCAGGGUUCCCCUGGCAAGUGGUCUAGGAGCGAUCCGGUAGCUGCUAGGAGGAGUGAGGUGGCAGCUGGUGGACGGGCAGUUACGAAUAAAACAGGCACCAACGCCUACCCGUGCUUCUGCUCAGUUGAACAAAGGUGCCCCCAUUGCUGUUGCCACCCAUUCCACCAGGUCAUCUCCUCGUACGACGACGUCCAACACCGGAGAUCCUGUCGUGUUGCCAGACUUGAGAAAGCCAGUCAAGAAGGUGAAGAAGACUACUGCACGCGCGGUCAAGCAUACCAUUAG
rnacentral:rRNA from 1 species